rnacentral:piRNA from 1 species
UCCUACUGAAGCAAAUGGACGUGGCAUCCUU